rnacentral:rRNA from 1 species
CUACGGGAGGCAGCAGUGAGGAAUAUUGGUCAAUGGGCGAAAGCCUGAACCAGCAACGCCGCGUGAGGGAUGAAGGCCUUCGGGUCGUAAACCUCUUUUCUGGGAGAAGAGACAAGGACGGUAUCCCAGGAAUAAGUCUCGGCUAACUACGUGCCAGCAGCCGCGGUAAAACGUAGGAGGCAAGCGUUAUCCGGAUUUACUGGGCGUAAAGCGCACGCAGGCGGUUAUGUAAGUCGGACGUGAAAGCUCCUAGCUCAACUGGGAGAGGUCGUUCGAAACUGCAUAGCUUGAGGUUGGAAGAGGAGAGCGGAACUCCCGGUGUAGUGGUGGAAUGCGUAGAGAUCCGGAGGAACACCAGAGGCGAAGGCGGCGUCCUAGUUCUGGCCUGACGCUCAGACACGAAAGCAUGGGGAGCGAACGGGAUUAGAAACCCUUGUAGUCC